rnacentral:rRNA from 1 species
GCAAUCGACCAUAGGAUGUAUUCUGGAAAACAGGGCUUCCCGUCCGCUCAGCCGUACUGAAACCACAUACCGGCCAGCUAGUACUGAGGUGGGUGACCACUCGGGAAUCCUGGCUGUCGAUUGUU